rnacentral:lncRNA from 1 species
GAAGAAGAAGGCAGCACAGGCCCUGAGGCAGCUGGGGAUCCAAACAAGAGCUGUGCUGAGCCCAGGGAGGGGAUGACCCCCUGUGCAGCCCAGGAGCCCAAGAGAAGCAGUGCCACAGAACAUCUUGGUCAGGGAGAAUUAAAUACCAGAUCAGAUCUGGACACAAAGAAUGCAGAUAAUUUAGUGGAACUUUCUCCUGAAGAAAUACCAGUUGAAAUUAUGCUUGGAAAGGUGACUGAGGGUGAGAUUGGACCCUUCAGCUCAGUGAAAAUCCCAGUCCUGUUUGUCCCAGCUGUCCCUGGG